UAAGGUGACUGCCGGUGAUAAACCGGAGGAAGGUGGGGAUGACGUCAAAUCAUCAUGCCCCUUAUGACCUGGGCUACACACGUGCUACAAUGGAUGGUACAAAGGGUUGCGAAGCCGUGAGGUGGAGCCAAUCCCAUAAAGCCAUUCUCAGUUCGGAUUGUAGGCUGCAACUCGCCUACAUGAAGCCGGAAUUGCUAGUAAUCGCGGAUCAGCAUGCCGCGGUGAAUACGUUCCCGGGCCUUGUACACACCGCCCGUCACACCACGAGAGUUUGUAACACCCGAAGUCGGUGGGGUAACCUUUUUGGAGCCAGCCGCCUAAGGUGGGACAGAUGAUUGGGGUGAAGU
rnacentral:rRNA from 1 species